rnacentral:rRNA from 1 species
AGCGAACGCUGGCGGCAGGCCUAACACGUGCAAGUCGAACGAACUCUUCGGAGUUAGUGGCGGACGGGUGAGUAACACGUGGGAACGUGCCUUUAGGUUCGGAAUAACUCAGGGAAACUUGUGCUAAUACCGAAUGUGCCCUUCGGGGGAAAGAUUUAUCGCCUUUAGAGCGGCCCGCGUCUGAUUAGCUAGUUGGUGAGGUAAAGGCUCACCAAGGCGACGAUCAGUAGCUGGUCUGAGAGGAUGAUCAGCCACAUUGGGACUGAGACACGGCCCAAACUCCUACGGGAGGCAGCAGUGGGGAAUCUUGCGCAAUGGGCGAAAGCCUGACGCAGCCAUGCCGCGUGAAUGAUGAAGGUCUUAGGAUUGUAAAAUUCUUUCACCGGGGACGAAAAUGACGGUACCCGGAGAAGAAGCCCCGGCUAACUUCGUGCCAGCAGCCGCCGUAA